GCUGUAGUUAUUUCUGUGUAUUAGACCCCUACUGUAUGUAUGGACACCAGCUGUAGUUAUUUCUGUGUAUUAGACCCCUACUGUAUGUAUGGACACCAGCUGUAGGUAUUUCUGUGUCGGAGAUUCUGUGUAUUAGACCCCUACUGUAUGUAUGGACACCAGCUGUAGGUAUUUCUGUGUAUUAGACCCCUACUGUAUGUAUGGACACCAGCUGUAGUUAUUUCUGUGUAUUAGACCCCUACUGUAUGUAUGGACACCAGCUGUAGUUAUUUCUGUGUAUUAGACCCCUACUGUAUGUAUGGACACCAGCUGUAGUUAUUUCUGUGUCGGCGAGUCUGUGUAUUAGACCCCUACUGUAUGUAUGGACACCAGCUGUAGUUAUUUCUGUGUCAGAGAGAUUCUGUGUAUUAGACCCCUACUGUAUGUAUGGACACCAGCUGUAGUUAUUUCUGUGUCAGAGAGAGUCUGUGUAUUAGACCCCUACUGUAUGUAUGGACACCAGCUGUAGUUAUUUCUGUAUCAGAGAUUCUGUGUAUUAGACCCCUACUGUAUGUAUGGACACCAGCUGUAGUUAUUUCUGUGUCGGCGAGUCUGUGUAUUAGACCCCUACUGUAUGUAUGGACACCAGCUGUAGUUAUUUCUGUGUAUUAGACCCCUACUGUAUGUAUGGACACCAGCUGUAGUUAUUUCUGUGUCGGCGAGUCUGUGUAUUAGACCCCUACUGUAUGUAUGGACACCAGCUGUAGUUAUUUCUGUGUCAGAGAGAUUCUGUGUAUUAGACCCCUACUGUAUGUAUGGACACCAGCUGUAGUUAUUUCUGUGUCGGCGAGUCUGUGUAUUAGACCCCUACUGUAUGUAUGGACACCAGCUGUAGUUAUUUCUGUGUAUUAGACCCCUACUGUAUGUAUGGACACCAGCUGUAGUUAUUUCUGUGUCGGCGAGUCUGUGUAUUAGACCCCUACUGUAUGUAUGGACACCAGCUGUAGUUAUUUCUGUGUCGGCGAGUCUGUGUAUUAGACCCCUACUGUAUGUAUGGACACCAGCUGUAGUUAUUUCUGUGUCGGCGAGUCUGUGUAUUAGACCCCUACUGUAUGUAUGGACACCAGCUGUAGUUAUUUCUGUGUCGGCGAGUCUGUGUAUUAGACCCCUACUGUAUGUAUGGACACCAGCUGUAGUUAUUUCUGUGUCAGAGAUUCUGUGUAUUAGACCCCUACUGUAUGUAUGGACACCAGCUGUAGUUAUUUCUGUGUAUUAGACCCCUACUGUAUGUAUGGACACCAGCUGUAGUUAUUUCUGUGUAUUAGACCCCUACUGUAUGUAUGGACACCAGCUGUAGUUAUUUCUGUGUCAGAGAUUCUGUGUAUUAGACCCCUACUGUAUGUAUGGACACCAGCUGUAGUUAUUUCUGUGUCAGAGAUUCUGUGUAUUAGACCCCUACUGUAUGUAUGGACACCAGCUGUAGUUAUUUCUGUGUCAGAGAUUCUGUGUAUUAGACCCCUACUGUAUGUAUGGACACCAGCUGUAGUUAUUUCUGUGUCAGAGAUUCUGUGUAUUAGACCCCUACUGUAUGUAUGGACACCAGCUGUAGUUAUUUCUGUGUCGGCGAGUCUGUGUAUUAGACCCCUACUGUAUGUAUGGACACCAGCUGUAGUUAUUUCUGUGUCGGCGAGUCUGUGUAUUAGACCCCUACUGUAUGUAUGGACACCAGCUGUAGUUAUUUCUGUGUCGGCGAGUCUGUGUAUUAGACCCCUACUGUAUGUAUGGACACCAGCUGUAGUUAUUUCUGUGUCGGCGAGUCUGUGUAUUAGACCCCUACUGUAUGUAUGGACACCAGCUGUAGUUAUUUCUGUGUCGGCGAGUCUGUGUAUUAGACCCCUACUGUAUGUAUGGACACCAGCUGUAGUUAUAUCUGUGUAUUAGACCCCUACUGUAUGUAUGGACACCAGCUGUAGUUAUUUCUGUGUCGGCGAGUCUGUGUAUUAGACCCCUACUGUAUGUAUGGACACCAGCUGUAGUUAUUUCUGUGUCGGCGAGUCUGUGUAUUAGACCCCUACUGUAUGUAUGGACACCAGCUGUAGUUAUUUCUGUGUCGGCGAGUCUGUGUAUUAGACCCCUACUGUAUGUAUGGACACCAGCUGUAGUUAUAUCUGUGUAUUAGACCCCUACUGUAUGUAUGGACACCAGCUGUAGUUAUUUCUGUGUCGGCGAGUCUGUGUAUUAGACCCCUACUGUAUGUAUGGACACCAGCUGUAGUUAUUUCUGUGUCGGCGAGUCUGUGUAUUAGACCCCUACUGUAUGUAUGGACACCAGCUGUAGUUAUAUCUGUGUCGGCGAGUCUGUGUAUUAGACCCCUACUGUAUGUAUGGACACCAGCUGUAGUUAUUUCUGUGUCGGCGAGUCUGUGUAUUAGACCCCUACUGUAUGUAUGGACACCAGCUGUAGUUAUUUCUGUGUCGGCGAGUCUGUGUAUUAGACCCCUACUGUAUGUAUGGACACCAGCUGUAGUUAUUUCUGUGUCGGCGAGUCUGUGUAUUAGACCCCUACUGUAUGUAACACAGAUUACCAAUAAAACUUGUUGUUUAUG